GUGGAGAGAGGCUAUGUCUACUCCCAGUGUUCUGACCUACGAACAUUUGAAUGAUUAGUAGCUUAAC
rnacentral:snoRNA from 1 species